AUUGAACGCUAGCGGGAUGCUUUACACAUGCAAGUCGAACGGCAGCACGGGUGCUUGCACCUGGUGGCGAGUAGCGAACGGGUGAGUAAUACAUCGGAACGUACCUUAUCGUGGGGGAUAACGCAGCGAAAGCUGUGCUAAUACCGCAUACGCCCUGAGGGGGAAAGCGGGGGAUCGCAAGACCUCGCGCGAUUAGAGCGGCCGAUGCCUGAUUAGCUAGUUGGUGGGGUAAAAGCCCACCAAGGCGACGAUCAGUAGCUGGUCUGAGAGGACGAUCAGCCACACUGGGACUGAGACACGGCCCAGACUCCUACGGGAGGCAGCAGUGGGGAAUUUUGGACAAUGGGGGCAACCCUGAUCCAGCAAUGCCGCGUGAGUGAAGAAGGCCUUCGGGUUGUAAAGCUCUUUUGUCAGGGAAGAAACACCGGCUCUAACACAGUCCGGGAAUGACGGUACCUGAAGAAUAAGCACCGGCUAACUACGUGCCAGCCGCCGCAGUAACAC
rnacentral:rRNA from 1 species